rnacentral:snoRNA from 1 species
AUUUCACUAUGUUGACACGUUCGAACUAUCUCCUUAAACCUCUUCCAUGCUUCAACAACAAUUUCAUUCUCUUUCUGGCCGAAGUUAUAGAUUUCUCUUCUAAACUU